rnacentral:rRNA from 1 species
CUGCGGAGGGAUCAUUACACAAAUAUGAAGGCGGGCUGGAACCUCUCGGGGUUACAGCCUUGCUGAAUUAUUCACCCUUGUCUUUUGCGUACUUCUUGUUUCCUUGGUGGGUUCGCCCACCACUAGGACAAACAUAAACCUUUUGUAAUUGCAAUCAGCGUCAGUAACAAAUUAAUAAUUACAACUUUCAACAACGGAUCUCUUGGUUCUGGCAUCGAUGAAGAACGCAGCGAAAUGCGAUAAGUAGUGUGAAUUGCAGAAUUCAGUGAAUCAUCGAAUCUUUGAACGCACAUUGCGCCCUUUGGUAUUCCAAAGGGCAUGCCUGUUCGAGCGUCAUUUGUACCCUCAAGCUUUGCUUGGUGUUGGGCGUCUUGUCUCUAGCUUUGCUGGAGACUCGCCUUAAAGUAAUUGGCAGCCGGCCUACUGGUUUCGGAGCGCAGCACAAGUCGCACUCUCUAUCAGCAAAGGUCUAGCAUCCAUUAAGCCUUUUUUUCAACUUUUGACCUCGGAUCAGGUAGGGAUACCCGCUGAACUUAAGCAUAUCAAUAAGCGGAGGAAAAAUC